AACGAACGCUGGCGGCAUGCCUAACACAUGCAAGUCGAACGAGACCUUCGGGUCUAGUGGCGCACGGGUGCGUAACGCGUGGGAAUCUGCCCUCCGGUUGGGAAUAACUGAGAGAAAUUUCAGCUAAUACCUUAUAAUGUCUUCGGACCAAAGAUUUAUCGCCGAGGGAUGAGCCCGCGUAGGAUUAGGUAGUUGGUGGGGUAAUGGCCUACCAAGCCGACGAUCCUUAGCUGGUCUGAGAGGAUGAUCAGCCACACUGGGACUGAGACACGGCCCAGACUCCUACGGGAGGCAGCAGUGGGGAAUAUUGGACAAUGGGCGAAAGCCUGAUCCAGCAAUGCCGCGUGAGUGAUGAAGGCCUUAGGGUUGUAAAGCUCUUUUACCCGGGAUGAUAAUGACAGUACCGGGAGAAUAAGCUCCGGCUAACUCCGUG
rnacentral:rRNA from 1 species